GCCCCAGAGUGAACAUAAUUGUACACUCGAAAAAACGAGGGCUGAUGGGCUUAUAUUGUCAACUUCCCUUGCUUGGCUAAUAAUUUGGACCAACAACAAAGAUGCCCGCGGGGAUUCUCCCAAGGGCAUAAAGCAAAGGUGGAGCCAGGGCCUAGAUAGAUGAUCAACUCACCACACCAGACUGGAAUACAGAUUUGUGGCCAUACAAAGAGGGAACAUUGAGUACAACAUGGAAUAAAAGAUCCAGGUGAUAAUAUCUUUAUAAUAUCAAUCUAAGCAGUUUUUUUGGUAACGUAUUAGAAGUCAGAUUUUUAUUUUUUUAUCCUUUAUUUAACUAGGCAAGUCAGUUAAGAACAAAUUCUUAUUUACAAUGACAGUCUCCUGGGGAACAGCAGGUUAAUUGCCUUGUUCAGG
ensembl:lncRNA